rnacentral:rRNA from 1 species
AACGAACGCUGGCGGCAGGCUUAACACAUGCAAGUCGAGCGCCCCGCAAGGGGCGCGGCAGACGGGUGAGUAAAGCGUGGGAAUCUACCCAUCUCUACGGAAUAACGCAUGGAAACGUGCGCUAACACCGUAUACGUCCUUCGGGAGACAGAUUUAUCGGAGAUGGAUGAGCCCGCGUUGGAUUAGCUAGUUGGUGGGGUAAAGGCCUACCAAGGCGACGAUCCAUAGCUGGUCUGAGAGGAUGAUCAGCCACACUGGGAAUGAGACACGGCCCAGACUCCUACGGGAGGCAGCAGUGGGGAAUAUUGGACAAUGGGCGCAAGCCUGAUCCAGCCAUGCCGCGUGAGUGAUGAAGGCCCUAGGGUUGUAAAGCUCUUUCACCGGUGAAGAUAAUGACGGUAACCGGAGAAGAAGCCCCGGCUAACUUCGUGCCAGCAGCCGCCGUAAUAC